rnacentral:rRNA from 1 species
GACGAACGCUGGCGGCGUGCCUAAUACAUGCAAGUAGAACGCAGUUGCGAACGGGUGAGUAACGCGUAGGUAACUGCCUCAUAGCGGGGGAUAACUAUUGGAAACGAUAGCUAAUACCGCAUACUGUGAGAUGGACCUGCGUUGUAUUAGCUAGUUGAGGAGGUAAAGGCUCACCAAGGCGACGAUACAUAGCCGACCUGAGAGGGUGAUCAACCCCCCUGGGACUGAGACACGGACCAGAGUCCUACUCAAGACAACAGUAACAAAUCUUCACGAAUAGACGGAAGUCUGACCUGUCAACGCGGCGUGAGUGAAGAAAUUUUUCGGAUCAUAAAUCUCUGUUGUUAGAGAAGCGGUAACUAACCAGAAAGGGACGGCUAACUACGUGCCAGCAGCCGCGGUAAUAC